UACGUAGGGUGCGAGCGUUACUCGGAAUUACUGGGCGUAAAGCGUGCGCAGGCGGUUUUGUAAGCCAGAUGUGAAAUCCCCGGGCUUAACCUGGGAACUGCAUUUGGGACUGCAAGGCUUGAGUGCGGCAGAGGAGACUAGAAUUCCUGGUGUAGCAGUGAAAUGCGUAGAUAUCAGGAGGAACACCGGUGGCGAAGGCGGCUUUCUGGACAGAUACCGACGCUGAGGCACGAAAGCUAGGGGAGCAAACAGG
rnacentral:rRNA from 1 species